CAGCCGCCGCGGGAAAACGAAGGGGGCUAGCGUUGUUCGGAAUUACUGGGCGUAAAGGGCGCGUAGGCGGCCAUUCAAGUUAGAUGUGAAAGCCCUGGGCUCAACCUAGGAAUUGCAUUUGAUACUGUUUGGCUUGAGUUCGGGAGAGGUGAGUGGAAUUCCCAGUGUAGAGGUGAAAUUCGUAGAUAUUGGGAAGAACACCAGUGGCGAAGGCGGCUCACUGGACCGACACUGACGCUGAGGCGCGAAAGCGUGGGGAGCAAACAGGAUUAGAUACCCGCGUAGUCCCUGUCUCUUAUAC
rnacentral:rRNA from 1 species